UUCUAUGACAACAAUACUAUAGCCAGUAUUUCCUCUUUUGAAAUUAUCUAAAGUGGAAUGUCUAAUGUGAGAGGAUUACAUAUUGAGUGCAAAUAAUCUUUACUUAGCACACCUAAUUUCUUUUAUGCUUUCUCUGUUUUAGGCACUUCAACGGUAUCAACCCCAAGAGGGGAACAAAGGCCAGCCAGGGGAAGGUGGUGUCCAAGAAGACCAGGAAGCUGGUCCAUAAAAAGGCAGCAACUGUGAAUCUCUAUGUGGCCACCCUUAUAUAAAAAAACUCCUGGACUUUGAGCGAGGCUUUAUGUAGUCCACAACACAUCUCCACACAGGAGAUGUGUUGUGGAAACAAACGAAACAAACGAAAGCCCUCAAACAACCAGAUCUUCAUGAGUUAGCAAGCAAUAGGAUAGCAUAUUGAGAACCUGUUCAGAGAUUGCGUUUUAAUGAAUUGUAUUUUACAAAAAUGUACUUAUUUUAAAAUUUGUCAUUUUAUUUUUUUGAUAGCGCAUUGACUUUAAUAAAUGCCACAUGUUGUAAGGCCA